AUUUUUCUGUCCCUCUGUCACUAAUCUCUCUUAUUUCAGUUUCUGAUGAGUUCCACAUGUGCAAAGGAAAUGUAGUAACUGGAAAGACCUCAGAGAACUGAUUUUGCUCUGCUGAUGAAGCCAAGGACUUCAGGACCACUGGCAUGAAGAGCCACUUUCCAUGGGACACUUAACAGGACAAGCUCAAUGAAAAGACCAGGACAUGGGUGAAUGAGAACCUGACCACCACACAUUCCCUGAAGAAGAGCCAUGGAAGGGAUCGUAUUGGAAUAUGCAGGGUAGGAGCUCUGCUCAGAUGAUAGAAUGGCACUAUUCCAAAAUCAACCUGUAAGUCAUUUUUUUCUAACUUGCAAUAUGAUUUUAGCUGAAACAACACUAGAAAGGAUGGCUACCUUUACUGGGAAGCCUUCAGGGACAGGCUCAACGUAUCAUGGUGCCAAAAGUAGUACCAGUAGGCUUCCUAGAAGGAGAAGAGAAAAGAGAGAGAGAAAGGGAAGGAGUACUGGCUGUUAUCUUCCUUUGGACUCUUUCAUUGUAAAAUUUUAAAGUCUGAGUUAAUGGGGUUUGAUUUAAUUCUUUAAUAAGGAUAUUGUGGAGCAUCCUUUCUUCAGACACAGGACUUUUAGGUGGUUCUGUGUUUAUCAUACAGCAAACUUUAUUUACUCAGAUAUACACUCUACCUUCCUGACACCCUAGUCAAUCAGACAAGCAUUUAUGAGCACAACCCAAAUGCCUAACACUCUGCUAAAUGCUGCAGACCAAUAGUUCUGACAUUUUGGGGUUUCAUAGACUUGUGGAAUUUUAAAAAGUAGAGAAACUACCAGAAAAUUGACAAGCCUUUUUUAUUUGCCAAGAAAGCAUACAUAAAAGAAAACAACUGCCAUCUAUUCUCAUAAUUAUGUUUCACUAUAGCCUGGUGGAAACUUUAUCCAGAUUCUCAGUUGGGAGCCACUGUAUUGUACAGUAUCUAAAAUUAAUAUAAAAUGUAUUCACACAUACCUAGUCCCCUUCUCCUGACAUGUCAGCUUAAUUCUUAGUUGAACCUAAAGAAUUCAGUGCCUAAAGCUGAUAUUCCUUUCAAGUCAAUUGCAAAUUACUUCUAUAAAAUGUUUUAGAUUAACUGAUCAUCACAUAGCAGUUUAAUCUUUCUCAUUCUGGACAUUAUCUGCUGAGGAUCCAUAAUCACCCUCAACAUAUUUUUUACCCAAUAUUAAAAUAAAUUUAUCAGUCUAGUAGAGAGCUUUUCAAAACUUCUUUAAAAAAACAUAGAAUCAUUUCUUCAAAUGAAAUUUUAUUCAAGAAGACCAAUAUCUAAAAUAGAUCAAAGCCAGCUGUUCUGAUUGAAGCAGCCUGCUGGGUUCCCCUUCCCAUUUUUCCUCAUGCCCCAGUAGUCCCCAAGGCACCUCCAUACACUGCCAGGGCUCCACAGGGCAGUCUUGAAAAGCUACUGAUCUAACAGAGCCGUAGGCUUGUAAAAUUUCUAAGUCAGAAGAUAUCUUAGAAAUGAUCACAAGUUACAGAAUAGCAGAGCAGGAAGAACCUUAGAGCUCAACUGGUUUACUCUCCCACCUCCUCAAUUCACAGAUAAGAAAACUGAGGCCCAGAAAGGUUGUAAAAUAUCAUCCCAGUGUCACAUUCAUUGCUACUUAGUGACAGACACAUGACUAAAAAUUAGGACUCCUUUGCUGCAAUGAAAUGCUUUACCUUAUUGCAGCUCUCUUGGAGGCAUUAUGUGCAGGGAAAACGGCAGGACUAUUUGGAACAAAGUUGUAAAAGCAGAAAAAGUAGCAGAGAAGAGGAAGCAUGAGACAGGAAGCAAACGGAAUGAACAAGUGGAUCUAUGUAUUACUAGUUCUUCUUAAGUUCAAAAGAAGUAGAAGCUGAAUCACAGUCUACAAGAGGUUCACAAUCCAGUUAAGAUAAAAAGAAAGAAUAAGGUGCUAAAGGAACAUUUAUGAUUUCUCUUACGUUCCAAGAAGACCAACUUCAAGUGAUGGCAAGAAGUUACCAAGACCUUGAUAUUAAUGAAUUGAAAAUUACACAGAUAUAUGAGGAAACUUGUUGCCCCAUAGUCAUGUGGGUUAAAAAUUAAAGUUUAGACCAUAAUCUGAAAAAUAAAGUUUAUAAAAGCUUGACUGUUUCCCUAUAGGAAAACUCAUACCCUUUGGGUGGGGGCACUUACUGCUUCACAAGAUGCAAGGCUGAGUAAGGGCCCAGCUAGCCCCAUCAAUCAGACUGCAUGUUACAGUGUGAACACCACCAGCAUGAAUUCACAAAUGUAAAUGAGUCUGGGGAACACGCAGUAUAGACAGCUUUAAGUACCAGUUUUGUCUUUGUUUACCCUGAACUCACUCACUCUGUGCUCAAGAGAUAUAAAUUCCCUUCCCUUUCUUCCUCUACUCCUUUUUCCUUCUUUUUCAUACUUAAACUUGUUUAAGCUUCUUGUGUAUAUAAUGUAUGUGUGUAAUUAGGAUUGUGAACUAGACAGAAACUACUUUUUCCUAAUUUUUAACAGCAAUUUAGAUUCAAAUUUCUACUCACAUAUGAGACAAUGGUAUACUCAUUCCUAUAGAAUUCAUCCAUUAGCAAGUGGUUCUAAAUUAGAAAGCACUGUGACUGAGAAAGCAGAAGCGGACUUCUUAAUUGCACAAUUCAUUUGUUUUUCUACUGUUAAAACCCACUAUAAUACUAUUGAAGGAAAUUUUCAAAACAGAAAAUUCAUCCUCAUCUUUGUAUUGUAACUGUUCCCAUUUGUCCAUGUUCUCAUUCAAUCUGUGUUUAUAUUUGAUACAUUAAAAAAAUAACUGAAAUCAUGACGUGCCAUGCGAUUUUGUUCUCUGUUUUGGCCACUAUGCCUAAUAUAU